rnacentral:lncRNA from 1 species
UUGGAGGAAGGAGUCCGUGAAGGACGGUUAUCUAAAGAUGAAGGCUCUUCUAGCAAGCGGUAUGGAGCAUUUGCUAAAAAUAAAGAUGGGGAGGCAUAUGCUGUGCAGUCCCAUGUUAAACCAAGAAGACCCUCUGCCAAGAGGAAGCCUGUGCGUCAUGCCGACAAUCAGCACCAGGUGGCUCACAUAGCACCUGUCUUCCGUGACAAUCAGC